GAUCGGAGGGAGUAACAUUUAAUCGAAGUAAUAAAAAAUAACAACAUUUUCAUCAUACAUUCAAAUAUAUAUCAUGAUAGAUUCAAAUAAAACUAAUUUAGAGUUGCAAUUGUCAGUAGACUUUUCUAUAUAACACUCGGUCAAAGUUUAACUUUCUUGGCUUACGACAAAGUUAAGAAUUAUUUUUUUGCAUGGAUAGUAUACGCUUAGAGCGCGUUCUUACCAUUAUAGUGCCUUUAGUUGAUUAAUAUCGUUGUUGUUGAUACAGUUGCUCUUCUUUGAUGCUACACACAAAUGAGGGUGUACGAGUCAGGGUUACUUUUUCGAUUUCACACGGCAUGUAAAACGACAAUGCCAAUAAAAAAUGUCCUCUACGUAUAUAACUAUCUCGCUGUGUAUAAAAUCUUUCCUAUCUACUCAAUAUAGUUAGCUUUGGAUUCUAUCCAUGUAUCGGCCAAGACAUCCAAAUGGUCCAUCUUUUCCCGUGCCUCUUACGGGACUCAACAAGUAGUCCAUGUGAUUCAUUGUCCUUAUUCCUCUCUACAUAUUGUUUAAUUGUGAUAUUUAUAUAUUUAUUUGUCUAUUUUAGCCAUCAGAUCUAUGCGGGAUCGAUACAACUGCAAGGUGAAAUCCAGCAGCAUAUUAAGUUUGCUGCUAUACUAAGAUCUACACAAAAAAAGAUUACCACGUAUGAACUCACAGAAAAAAAAAACAAGCACAAUUCGAGAACAAGUCAUAGAUGAAUAUGAUGACGCCAACAGUGACAUCGGUAAUCUACUGUUGCCUGUAACAAAAUAAUAUUUAUUCUCAAUAGUUAAAUUGUAUUCUUAUUGUUUCCACUUUUACAUAAAAAUAAUAUGUAACCUUUAUUUUCAUUUAUAGGCUCCAACUAUCAUGCACAUUUUUCGUGGAGCCUGCUCAAUGUCAUGAGAAUGACGUUUAGGCUUAAUGUCCACAAACUUGAAUGUAAAUGUAUGCCGAAGAAUAAUUUAACAGCAUGGAUUAUGAAGGAUCUUCCACGAGGUCUUAUGACCUAAAACUUUCCGUAAAAAAAAACAUAUUCCAAAAGGUCAACUACAACAAUAUAUUUUUUUGGAAAAUCUACAUGUGAUGAAUUUGCUGCUCAGUAAAGUGCAUCCUCUCAAACUUCUAUGUAGUUGGUGAUUACAAUUGUGUGAAUACAUGUGUUAAGAGAGAGCCUUUGACACUACUCGGCAGCCAAACAAUAUCAAUAAUUGUCGAUUUAACUCUGCACAAAGACAUGCUUCUUUCACAGCAGAGUAGUUGUAUAAACAUCGUAACUAAAUGAAAAUGUUUUCCCUUAUUUUGUAGGUAUAAGUUGCGCAUUCCGAGGCUAAACAUCCGG
rnacentral:lncRNA from 1 species